rnacentral:piRNA from 1 species
UAAUGCUUGUUACUGUGCAUUCCGUAAAU